UACGGAGGGGGCUAGCGUUGUUCGGAAUUACUGGGCGUAAAGCGUACGUAGGCGGCUUUGUAAGUUAGAGGUGAAAGCCCGGGGCUCAACCCCGGAAUUGCCUUUAAGACUGCAUCGCUUGAACGUCGGAGAGGUGAGUGGAAUUCCGAGUGUAGAGGUGAAAUUCGUAGAUAUUCGGAAGAACACCAGUGGCGAAGGCGGCCCACUGGAUCGGUACUGACGCUGGAGGUGCGAAAGCGUGGGGAGCAAACAGG
rnacentral:rRNA from 1 species